CGCCUCUUGUUUCUCCUAUAUAAGAGGUCCUGCCUGCCCAGUGACAUAUUGUUAAACGGCCGCGGUAUCAUGACCGUGCAAAGGUAGCGUAAUCACUUGUCUUCUAAAUAAAGACCGGUAUGAAUGGCAAAACGAGAGUUCAACUGUCUCCUUUAACCAAUCAGUGAAAUUGAUCUUUCCGUGUAGAAGCGGAAAUUUAAAUAUAAGACGAGAAGACCCUAUGGAGCUUAAAAUAUAAACCAUUUAUAAAAUAAUAUACCAAAAGGCUAAUAAUUAACAUAAAUUCUGGUUAAAAUUUUAGGUUGGGGCGACCACGGAAUAAAAUAAAACUUCCGAGAUGAAAUUAUAAUUCAAGGGUAACAACCCUAAAAAAUAAAACAUUUAACAUAAUUGAUCCAAUAUUUUGAUCAACGGACCAAGUUACCCUAGGGAUAACAGCGCAAUCCUUUCCAAGAGUUCUUAUCGACGAAUGGGUUUACGACCUCGAUGUUGGAUCAGGACAUCCUAAUGGUGCAGCUGCUAUUAAGGGUUCGUUUGUUCAACGAUUAAAGUCCC
rnacentral:rRNA from 1 species